rnacentral:rRNA from 1 species
GACGAACGCUGGCGGCGUGCUUAACACAUGCAAGUCGAACGGAAAGGCCUGCUUUCCCUUGUGGAUUGCGGGUACUCGAGUGGCGAACGGGUGAGUAACACGUGAGUGAUCUGCCCCCAACUUGGGUAUAAGCCUGGGAAACUGGGUCUAAUUCCCGAUCGGACUGCAGGGUGGUGCCUGUGGUGGAAAACGAUUUUCUAGUGGUUGGGGAUGAGCUCGCGGCCUAUCAGCUUGUUGGUGGGGUAAUGGCCUACCAAGGCGGCGACGGGUAGCCGGCCUGAGAGGGUGGACGGGCACAUUGGGACUGAGAUACGGCCCAGAAUCCGACGGGAGGCAGCAGUGGGGAAGAGGGGACAAUGGGGGGAAGCCUGAUGCAGGGACGCAGCGUGGGGGAUGAAGGCCUGCGGGUGGUAAACUCCUUUCGACCGCGAGGAAGCCACCUGGUUGGAAGGGUGGUGACGGUAGUGGUAGAAGAAGCACCGGCUAACUACGUG